rnacentral:rRNA from 1 species
CCUACGGGUGGCAGCAGUGGGGGAUAUUGCACAAUGGGGGAAACCCUGAUGCAGCGACGCCGCGUGUGGGAAGACGGUCCUCUGGAUUGUAAACCACUGUCCCCAGGGACGAAGAUGACGGUACCUGGGGAGGAAGCUCCGGCUAACUACGUGCCAGCAGCCGCGGUAAUACGUAGGGAGCGAGCGUUGUCCGGAAUUACUGGGUGUAAAGGGAGCGUAGGCGGGACUGCAAGUUGGGUGUCAAAUCGUGGGGCUCAACCCCAUCCAGCCGUUGAAACUGGGGAUCUAGAGUGUGCGAGAGGUAUGCGGAAUGCGUGGUGUAGCGGUGAAAUGCAUAGAUAUCACGCAGAACCCCGAUUGCGAAGGCAGCAUACCGGUGCACAACUGACGCUCAGGCACGAAAGCGUGGGUAUCGAACAGGAUUAGAUACCCUUGUAGUC